rfam:Ictidomys tridecemlineatus contig071177, whole genome shotgun sequence.
GGGGUUGUGGCUCAGCUGUAGAGUGCUUGCCUAGCACGGGUGAGGCCCUGAGUUCGAUCCUCAGCACCACCU